UACGUAGGGUGCAAGCGUUGCCCGGAUUAUUGGGCGUAAAGGGCGCGUAGGCGGCUCGGAACGUCCGUUGUGAAAUCGCCCGGCUCAACUGGGCGGGGUCAGCGGAUACGGCCGAGCUUGAGCAAGCUAGGGGCAAUGGAAUUCCCGGUGUAGUGGUGGAAUGCGUAGAUAUCGGGAGGAACACCAGUGGCGAAGGCGGCGAGCUGGUCCAUUACUGACGCUGAGGCGCGACAGCGUGGGGAGCAAACAGG
rnacentral:rRNA from 1 species